ensembl:lncRNA
CCUUGACCUUGCCUCUAAAUUUCUACAAUCUCCUGCCAGAUAAUUCAGCCCUGCUUUGUUCCCUCUGUGAGGGAUUAAACAGAAAUCAGAGAAUGGUUUUAUAAUUACCCCCUGCUUUUCCGUGGAAAAACUCCCAGUGUUGACAUAAGCUGAUGUAAAUGCUGGAGCCCUCACCAGGACUUUACCCUCUCUCAUUUUUAUGCCCCAGAGCUGAGAAGCAGCCAGACCUGACAAGAGAAGUAGAAAUGAGCAGAAUGUACGACUUGAUUCACAGGAACGAUCCAUUCCCGGAAAGGUGCACCUUUCAGAAACACACGAAAACUUUUAAACUUCGAGGUCUUACUGGACUGGCUUGCCUUGUUCACAUGUUCCUCCUCAACCAAGCACCAUGAUGGCCAAGAAUCCGUGAGGAGCUGACUGGCCAGUCUGUGUCCUUUGCCCAACCUUGGAGCUGGAGAGGAACUCACUCAUCUCACAUACAAGCCACAAGCCACGGGGGACUGGCAGUAAGGAAGUGGGGUGGCCCUCACAGGAAAUGUGAGGAAGGGGGAACAAAGGAGGGAGCAGAAAGCAAAAAUGCCUGCCAUGCUGGCUUUCUAUGAGUACAGAUCUAGCCGACCCAAAGUAAUGACAGAUUGAGAACAAGAUAUAAUCUACUAUGAUUUUUUUGCCUCUGUCUGGCACUUUGUACAAUAGCUUGCAUGCCAUCAAAAUCAUUUUAAUACUUCCACAAUUAUUCCUGAAGCAAUAAAUCUCAUUCCAAGAAAUUCAUAAAACAAGAAACACCAAAAAAGCAAAUGAGGUUAAAAUUUCAGUGAUUUAUGUUUUUUCUAUACAUAUGUAAACAUGUAUACAGAUAAAAUACUUAUUAACCAACUAGAACAUUUCAAUUUGACUGGCUCUCAAAUUAUACCUAAUUUGUUACUUUGGAAAAGUCUGGUUUUCUGCCAUCAGGUUGACAUUUAAAUGCAGGACCUCACUCCAUUUCUUGCUUUCUGUUGACAUAAUAGUUGCGAUUACCUAGUACCUCUUUAUACUUUAUUUUGUCCAAUAUUUUUAAAUGCUUCCAUUUGUCAUGGUAUUUUUACAUGGUGUGAUAGCUGGAAUUUACUUCAAAAACUCUGACAGCAGUACAAGAAGCUGGUAAAAGUAUGGAUAAAAAACAUUGGCUAUGAAUUGAUAAUGGUUGAAACCGAUGAUCAUACCUGGGGGCUCAGUACUCUACAGGGUCAACUUUUGUAUAUGUUCAACAUUUCCCAUAAUAAAACACUUAAAAAUAAACAUUUUAUACAUGACUUUUCUAGAUCUAAGCCAAAUUUUUUAGAAAUACUUAUUUUGCAAUUUUCAUUUGAGCUGAAAAAUCAUUACACCAUCCUUUUGUUAUAAAACAUAAAAUAUAUAUCAUUGGACAAAUUUUCUCUUCUUCCUUUGUCCAAGAGGUACCGCGAAAACAUGUAUUUAUGUUGGAGUCCUAUGUGGAAAGAAUGUCCUUGUUAUACCAAUGCAAAAUGAGUAUUACAGAAUCGUGUAGCAAUGAAUGCCCAGUUAGACCAUUUAAUUUAAUGCGAUGCAGAGCAGACUCCAUGUUGACAAAUUAGCUACAGAACAACCAACUAUGAAAAAUGGUGCCACAUCAGAGGGGCCCAGGCAUCAGUUCUUUGUCAACCUGUCCAUCAUGAAGGCCAAUAGGAGCCAUGUGCCCUGAAAGCAUGUGACGUUACUCAAGCUGACGGGAGGCCAAGCCACGAUUUAGCAAAUCUCCAGCAAAACCUAUGUGAUUGCCACAAAUGACUAUGUAUUAUUUCUGUAAUGCUGCCUUAAAUAAUGCUAUUCUUUACUGUUUCAUUUUUUUUAAACCCUAUUUUAAGAUGAUUAAAAUCUGCUCAGAUGCUCU